UUUGACCCACGCUAUCUCCUGCUCAACUCUGAGGAACGAAAGCAGUUGACAAUAACAAUGAUGAAAUAGGAGUGGUCCACAGAACAAUCGCAGCACAGUGAAGGGUGGAGUUCUACAAAACGCCGCCCACAAAACACGGAAUUGAUGAGAGGGGGUUCUCGGGGGACUAUUUUAAGGAGAGACUUGCCAGGGGUCUGCCCUAGCUUUUCACAAAGUAGGUCCCUGAGCCAACACUGCUUUCCAUAUCAAACAGAGGGAUAGAUGGUGUCGGCUCACAGGGGGGGCCUGUUGUUGCUGGGAGAGGGACCGAUGGUCUGAUGGCAUUAGCUGGCACAGCCUGGGUCUGUGUGGCCCGUGGAGCGCUUCUGAGAAGGGCCCUGAGAUAGACUCUGGAAGGUCCGGACUUCCCUGCCCCAGUUAGACUCCAUGUGUGCGGUCACGUCUUGCCCUCUCUUUGCCCUUUGAGUUCAGAAAUGAUGCACGUGGAAGGUGAGCUAUCAAGAAGAGCCGCUGAAAACAGAAGAGCCAGAGUUAAUUAGGGGAGGAGGGGUUCUGUGACCAGGGGCCCCCACGUUGGUGUCCACUGGAUUUCUCACACCAGCAGAGUCUGAUAAAGCCCCAGACGGAGGGUAUGGGAAUUGCCAUUUUAUUUUCAAUUCUGUCCUCUGCUCAUAAAGUCCCUUUAAGAAAUGCCUGAGAUGGUGUCAGUGAAGCACGAACCCACAGAGUCUCAGUCACAUGGACCCGCGUUGCUUGUUGUAACCAACUCCCGCUCUGUCCUCACUCCCGUUCCCAGCCCUCGACCCACCAC
rnacentral:lncRNA from 1 species